rnacentral:rRNA from 1 species
AUUGAACGCUGGCGGCAUGCCUUACACAUGCAAGUCGAACGGUAACAGGUCUUCGGAUGCUGACGAGUGGCGAACGGGUGAGUAAUACAUCGGAACGUGCCCGAUCGUGGGGGAUAACGCAGCGAAAGCUGUGCUAAUACCGCAUACGAUCUACGGAUGAAAGCGGGGGAUCGCAAGACCUCGCGCGGACGGAGCGGCCGAUGGCAGAUUAGGUAGUUGGUGGGAUAAAAGCUUACCAAGCCGACGAUCUGUAGCUGGUCUGAGAGGACGACCAGCCACACUGGGACUGAGACACGGCCCAGACUCCUACGGGAGGCAGCAGUGGGGAAUUUUGGACAAUGGGCGCAAGCCUGAUCCAGCCAUGCCGCGUGCAGGAUGAAAGCCUUCGGGUUGUAAACUGCUUUUGUACGGAACGAAAAAGCUCUCUCUAAUACAGGGGGUGAAUGACGGUACCGUAAGAAUAAGCACCGGCUAACUACGUGCCAGCAGCCGCGGUAA